rnacentral:piRNA from 1 species
AAUCGAGUGAGCACUUCAACCGGCAGCCU